ACGAACGCUGGCGGCGUGCUUAACACAUGCAAGUCGAACGGAAAGGCUCAGCUUGCUGGGUACUCGAGUGGCGAACGGGUGAGUAACACGUGGGUGAUCUGCCCUGAACUCUGGGAUAAGCCUGGGAAACUGGGUCUAAUACCGGAUAUGACCUUACGUUGCAUGACGUUUGGUGGAAAGCUUUUGCGGUUCAGGAUGGGCCCGCGGCCUAUCAGCUUGUUGGUGGGGUAAUGGCCUACCAAGGCGACGACGGGUAGCCGACCUGAGAGGGUGAUCGGCCACACUGGGACUGAGACACGGCCCAGACUCCUACGGGAGGCAGCAGUGGGGAAUAUUGCACAAUGGGCGCAAGCCUGAUGCAGCGACGCCGCGUGAGGGAUGACGGCCUUCGGGUUGUAAACCUCUUUCACCAGGGACGAAGCGUGAGUGACGGUACCUGGAGAAGAAGCACCGGCCAACUACGUGCCAGCAGCCGCGGUAAUACGUAGGGUGCGAGCGUUGUCCGGAAUUACUGGGCGUAAAGAGCUCGUAGGCGGUUUGUCGCGUCGUCUGUGAAAUUCUGCAACUCAAUUGUAGGCGUGCAGGCGAUACGGGCAGACUUGAGUACUACAGGGGAGACUGGAAUUCCUGGUGUAGCGGUGAAAUGCGCAGAUAUCAGGAGGAACACCGGUGGCGAAGGCGGGUCUCUGGGUAGUAACUGACGCUGAGGAGCGAAAGCGUGGGUAGCGAACAGGAUUAGAUACCCUGGUAGUCCACGCCGUAAACGGUGGGUACUAGGUG
rnacentral:rRNA from 1 species